UGAACCAAGCCAUGCCGCGUGCAGUGGAUGACUGGCCCUAUGGGUUGUAAACUGCUUUUAUCCGGGAAAAAAACCACAUUACGUGUAAUGGGCUGAAUGUACCGGAAGAAUAAGGAUCGGCUAACUCCGUGCCAGCAGCCGCGGUAAUACGGAGGAUCCGAGCGUUAUCCGGAUUUAUUGGGUUUAAAGGGUGCGUAGGCGGCCUGUUAAGUCAGGGGUGAAAGACGGUAGCUCAACUAUCGCAGUGCCCUUGAUACUGAUGGGCUUGAAUGGACUAGAGGUAGGCGGAAUGAAACAAGUAGCGGUGAAAUGCAUAGAUAUGUCUCAAAACACCGAUUGCGAAGGCAGCUUACUAUGGUCUUAUUGACGCUGAGGCACGAAAGCGUGGGGAUCAAACAGGAUUAGAUACCCUGGUAGUCCACGCCCUAAACGAUGAAAACUCGCUGUUGGCGAUACACAUUCAGCGGCUAAGCGAAAGCGUUAAGUGUUCCACCUGGGGAGUACGCUCGCAAGAGUGAAACUCAAAGGAAAUUGACGG
rnacentral:rRNA from 1 species